rnacentral:rRNA from 1 species
CCUACGGGCGGCAGCAGUGGGGGAUAUUGCACAAUGGGGGGAACCCUGAUGCAGCGACGCCGCGUGGGUGAAGAAGCGCUUCGGCGCGUAAAGCCCUGUCAGCAGGGAAGAAAAUGACGGUAUCUGAAGAAGAAGCACCGGCUAACUACGUGCCAGCAGCCGCGGUAAUACGUAGGGGGCAAGCGUUAUCCGGAUUUACUGGGUGUAAAGGGGGCGCAGGCGGCGAUGCAAGCCAGAGGUGAAAGCCUGGGGCCCAACCCCGGGACUGCUCUUGGAACUGCUGGGCUGGAGUGCAGGAGGGGCAGGCGGAAUUCCUGGUGUAGCGGUGAAAUGCGUAGAGAUCAGGAGGAACACCGAUGGCGAAGGCGGCCUGCUAGACUGCAACUGACGUUGAGGCCCGAAAGCGUGGGGAGCAAACAGGAUUAGAUACCCUUGUAGUC